rnacentral:rRNA from 1 species
UACGUAGGUGGCAAGCGUUGUCCGGAUUUACUGGUCGUAAAGAGCGCGCAGGCGGUCGGAUAAGUCGAAUGUGAAAGCCCCCGGCUCAACUGGGGAGGGUCAUUCGAUACUGUUCGACUCGAAGGCAGGAGAGGGAAGUGGAAUUCCCGGUGUAGUGGUGAAAUGCGUAGAGAUGUGGAGGAACACCUGUGGCGAAGGCGGCCGACUGGGCCGACCCUGACGCUGAGGCGCGAAGGCGUGGGGAGCGAACGGG